UGAGAACAUACAACAGAAGGUCGUGACCCUGCUGAGUGACCCGGACAACAGAAGGUCGUGACCCUGCUGAGUGACCCAGACAACAGAAGGUCGUGACCCUGCUGAGUGACCCGGACAACAGAAGGUCGUGACCCUGCUGAGUGACCCGGACAACAGAAGGUCGUGACCCUGCUGAGUGACCUGGACAACAGUGUUAAACGGACCCUACUGGAGAAAGGAAUCACAAAGCUGUGUGUCUUCUUUGGCAGGCAGAAAGCCAAUGAUGUGUCAUUGAUUACUUCCUCAAUGACAAGACUGACUGGCAUCUCCGUGGCUCCUUCUUUGACAACAUUGUGGGUGUGGCCGCCUAUAUCGGUAGCAGAGCUGCUCUA